rnacentral:lncRNA from 1 species
AAGCGUGUCUACUGUCCCUUGUAAUCCCUUCAGUUAACUUCUAGGUGACCUCACCGUGCUUCGCAGUUAUUCAUUUAGCGUAUCAGCAUGUCAGGGUGAUGAAGUGUCUCGGCUGAUAGGAGCUAAGGGCUCAGUAAGCCACAGCGCCUCCAUCAACAGUAAGGAGUGUUGACGGGCGCCAAAUGCUGAGGUGGCACUUCCCACGACAGCCACCAGGCACCAGCUGGACACGGGGGGCUUCAUUUCCAUCUUUGGGCAGCAAACGAGUAGCUGUGGCGGGCAGGGGGUCUGCCUCCACGUUUGAAAACUACACUCAUCUUCUGUACCCACUGGACUUGACUUCGCCAUCCCUGAAUCAGGACUUUUUUUUUUUCUUUCCUGUUACCAGGGACAGAAAGCUGUCCUCAAAAUGGCUUAAGGGGAACAAGAAAAAAAAAUUUAAGAGAAGAAUGGAAAGAUAUAGUUCAUUGGUUCCUUGAUUGAAUUAUAUAGCAGUGGCCCCCAGGCCUGGUUUGGUCCAAGGAAUGAAAUAAACUCUGUCCCACCCUCUUUGGAGUGUUGGCCUUCUUCCUAUUAGCUUUGCCCUCAGAAUUCCUGUGGUGGCCCCAGAAGCUCGGUCCACAGGGACUGCAGAUUCAGACCCAGCAGAAAAGAACACCAGCCUGCUUCUCUUGCAAAGCAGGGGCGUGGGGGUACCAAAGGCUCGUCUGUCUCACUGGGGCCUGCUCAGGUCACAUGGCCACUCUUGAACCAAUCACUGUGGUCAGAGGCAGGCUGUGUUCUGAUUGGCUAGACCUGAGUCACAAGAGCAGCCCCACCUAAAGCAAAGGAAUUAAGGCGAGAUGGAAAGAUGUUCUAAAACUGAGGUGGGGCCCUGUUACUUGAAGAUGAAGGAAGAGAACCGGGCAGCAUUAAAUGUUCUCAUCAAGUUCAAAAAAACACGCGGCCUUUUUUUUCUUUCACUGCCUUCCGAAGAGUUGCUGUAUGUUAACAGCCCCUGUGCUGAAUCAGUCAGGGUUGUGACCUCCCCUUGGAGACUGCUUUCAAAAGAGGAAACUCCAGGAAACCCCAGAGAGGCCAGGCCAUUGAGAAGUUCUCCAAACCCAUCCAGAGCCAAUGGCAGUAAUUGGUCGAAAUAAAGAAUUGCUCCACUUAAUACUUUCACAAAUCAUCCCGUUUGCAUGCAAGAUGAUAAUGAGCAUUGGGGCCAGAAAUAGACCGUAUUUUGCUUACUCGCUAGUGUCUUGUCACAUCGCAUUGCUUGAAUUGUGUCAGAUCACAUUGGGUAACGUUGCCUCCAUUCAGCGCUGAUGUGACCCACGGCUUUGCAACAUUUAAGACAAGUGUUUGGGGGCUUUUCUCCCCGAUCCAAUUUUUUUUUUUGCACAAGUGCUGUUUACCAGAUGAGGCAUAUGUGAAUACUAUUAGAAUUGAAAACGCGUCUACCAUUUAAGCCAGAAUUUACUAAGGGGCCUAUGGGAAGGAAGGCACACGAAACGUUUAUUCACAGCCCCUGACAGUCCUUUAACAAGGGGCCGAUUCCUCACCCAGAAUUUUCCAUGUUUACUGAAAUCUGAUAUUCACAGUUUUCCUAUGUACAAACUGCUGCAAUGUUUAAGGCACCCUUUAUAGCUGACAGCUGGACAGGAAACUUGGCCUUAAUAUUCUGUGGGAUCAACUGCCCAUACCCUGACAAACAUGCUCUUCACAGAAAUAAUUGUAAUAAUCUUGAUUUAGAGUUGCCAUGUAAUAACAGCUAACACUUAUGUAAUGUUUGCUGCAUGCCAGUUACUGUUCUAAUUAAUUACCGUAUAUAUUUUAACUCUAAUCCUAUAAUGGCUCUGAAUGUUAUUAUUAUACCCUGAUGUACCAGUGAGGAGACUGAGGCACAGACACGUUAAGUAACUUGCAUAAUGACUCAUAAUUCAUGUCGCUGAGAUUUUAACUUACACAGUCUGGCUCUCAAGCUGUGCUCCAUACUGUGAGGUUAUAUGAAUAAACAUAUUGACUCAAGAUCUGUGGUUCCAAAGAGUGCUAAACACAUAACAGAUAAGUUAAAUAUUACAUUGUAAUCUUGAUUUAUCCUAUAAUUAUAAUGUAAUAUAUUAUUAUAUUUAUUAUGUGAUCAUUUAUUAUAUCUGCUAUACAUGACAUCAGAAAUAUUAUAAGGCUUUUCUCUUAAAAGAAUUGAAUCAAGAUACAGUCAUUCACACAGAUUUGAACAGUUUCAAACGGAAGAUGAGAGAAGAAACAACAGCAAAAUUAAAUGUUGUUAAAACAAUAAAAUUAAGUUAGGUGAAAUGUAACUUCACGAAAAUGUAUGCAACUAAAAUUAGAGCAAAACUUUAGGCCUGACCAUCCUGAUAGACUAAAGGGGGACAAGUGAAGGGUUAACAGCCUCUGUGUCAACCCAGGGUGCAAGCAGCCUCCUGCUCCGGUCUCAAGACAAGUCCAGGAGGAAUUUCUCUCACAGUUCCUCAGGCCAGGACAUAGUGGGAGAGCUUGGUUACAAGGAGCUUCGCUUUCUUUUAAAGGAAGUGAGUCAGGGAGAACCAGGGCCCUACAGAAAUUCCAUGUAUCGAUGUGACAAUAACAGCAGUUGUAGUUCCUUGGGCAAGGAAUUCAGUGCCUCUGCCUUUGCUUUCUUACCUGGACCAAAGUGCUGUCUUUGGUUCCCUGGAAUGAGACCCAGAAACAAAUAUGAAUACUUUAUUUGGUCAUUGGCUCGGGGUCACCAAGAGCGGCGUGGAGAAGGAAGGCAGGCGGGGAGGGAUGCUCACAACGAGUAGGUGCCCAGCAGGUAACCACCCUCGGUGCCUGGAGCUGGACACUGUCUGGGCACCUGGGAGCCAGUGUUGCCCGUGUACGGCAGCGCUGUCCUGGAUGAGGGCAAGGGUGCUGGGAUAGUUUUCUACCGAAUCUCCACCCGCCGUGGCCUCAGGGCUUCUUCCUGGGGCUCUCCUCUCCAGCAUUUCCAGCUCGCCCCAUGUGCCAGCCAGACAUGCCCACAGAGCUGACAGUGCCCUCCGCCAGAGAAGCACAGGUGUUCCAGAUAGGAAUGCUUGGUGGGAGAUAUUCACCUGGGAGCUAUGGAUGGGGUGCCCUCAAAGUCUCAUGCGGAUAAUAGUGGUGCCUGCCUCCUAGGGCUGUUGUCAUGGUUUUUGUUUGUUUAUUUUUUUGUUUUUUGCCUUUUGUCUUUUUAGCCUUGCACCCCUGGCAUAUGGAGGUUCCCAGGCUAGGGGUCUAAUCGGAGCUGUUGCUGCCAGCCUAUGCCACAGCCACAGCAAUGCCAGAUCCGAGCCGCAUCUAUGACCUACACCACAGCUCAUGGCAAUGCUGGAUCCUUAACCCACUGAGCAAAGGCCAGGCAUUGAACUGGCCACCUCAUGGUUCCUAGUUGGCUUCGUUUCCACUGUGCCACGACGGGAACUCCUGUUGUCAUGAUUGAAUGAGACAAUUAAUGCAUAUAAAGAAAGCACUUGGAAUACUGUCUAGCUUGAGCAAACUCGUAAAAGUUGGGGAAAAGCAUGUUGGCUCACAAAAUUGAAAUAUCUGGAAGAUCUUGAAACUUCGGGGAAAGGUUGAUCCAAAGCUGAAAUGUUUGGGGCUGGGCAAGAGGGGCUGAGCAGGGAGACCAGCCUGUGUGCGUUCGAGCACUGCCAGAUAGCGGAGACCGUGUCGUCUCUGUGGUCCAUUUCACAUCUAGGGUGUUAAGCAGACCCAUUCCCAGAUACUCACAAUGAACGCAAAUAACCUGUCAGUGCAGUGGCGAGCGUCUGGUGGUGGGAUGGGGUGGGUUGGUGGCGAUGAGGCAACAUGGUUUGCAUCGUGUAGCUAAAUCCACCAGUUGUGUGACGGACGGUCUCAUUUCUCUGCGGGCUGUUUUGGCAUUGUGUAGACACAGCCUAAAUUGGUGCCCGCACCUCCCACUAAUCAUGCUCUGAGAGAGAACGUGGAGUUAUUGAGAUCCCCAAGCAGCACUUUGGAGCACACGCUAUCUAACGAUAUCAAGAGAUGAAGGAGGCCUUUGAAAUGAGCUUUCGAGAGUGAGUAAUGACCUUCCGGAUGUGGUGCAGGGAUUGUCUUUUGAAACUGGUAUAUCUUGAUGGAUGAUUGAAAGGCUGCUGUCUUUGGUAUAGUUUUCACGGUUUUGUAUUUGGGGUGUGUAAUAAAUAAAUGUGUAAUUGCCCUCAACAUGAUGCAAGACCAGAAGGUGAGGAUGAGACAGAAAAGUCCUAUAGCAGCAUAAAAUUUUAUUAGGAUCCCCAUUGCUAGGCAAGGCAGUGUUGUGUGAACAAAGAAUGGUCUGUCUGAAGUUGACCAAGAUAGAAUCCAAUGCAACGAAGAACAAAUUCCACCAGCCUGUUUGUAGGGAGGUGGGCGGAUAGGAUAAAGGAUAGGUACUCUCGUUUUUAACGUCCUUAUGCAAGUAGUUUCAGGGUCCACAUUGGUAACAGUAAAACCAACCGAAAUCGUUUACCUUGUAAUGCUGCAUAUUAAGCAGUCAGUAUUUAUAAAGCAUUUGCGGUGCUUUCUCUAAUUGACGGAGAUAGCUACUUUUUGCAAUGGCCUCUAAUUCUUCUUAAUUCAUUGAGAUUUUUUUCUUCCUCCAUAUUUGGGCUACAGUCAGUGUUUGUGCCCAAUAUAAUAUACAGUGUCUAGAAGUUAAGCUCAGUUUCCUCUUCAUCCCAUGUUUUAUUGGACAGGUCAAAGAAUAUUUGUAAUAUCACUGUAUAAACUCUAUUAGAAUGCAGAAGAUUUGUAUGUUAACAUUUCAUGUUAUCAUCCACGAAGAAGGCACACGAAUUUUAGUCCUACCUUCUUCACUCCAAUUUAGAAGCUUAAAUAAAAGAAAAGAGAAUUUUUUUUUUUUUUGUCUUUUUGCCUUUUCUAGGGCUGCUCCUACGGCACAUGGAGGUUCCCAGGCUAGGGGUCGAAUCAGAACCAUGGCUGCCGGCCUACGCCAGAGCCACAGCAACGCGGGAUCCGAGCCACGUCUGCGACCUACACCCCAGCUCAUAGCAAUGCUGGAUCCUUAACCCACUGAGCGAGGCCAGGGAUCAAACCCGCAACCACAUGGUUCCUAGUCGGAUUCGUUAACCACUGAGCCACGACGGGAACUCCAAAAAGAGAUUUUUGGUUGUUCGUCAUCGUCUCCUACUGUCUUAAUGUUUUAAUAUGAUUUGUCUGCAACUAAGAUUGCUUUCUUUUUAAAAAAUCUGCUAUGGCCUUCCAAUAUCCAGUUAGUCAUAU